rnacentral:rRNA from 1 species
UAUGGAGGGGGCUAGCGUUGUUCGGAAUGACUGGGCGUAAAGCGCGCGUAGGCGGGCUGGAAAGUCAGGGGUGAAAUCCCGGGGCUCAACCUCGGAAUUGCCUUUGAAACUCCCAGCCUUGAGUUCGAGAGAGGUGAGUGGAAUUCCGAGUGUAGAGGUGAAAUUCGUAGAUAUUCGGAGGAACACCAGUGGCGAAGGCGGCUCACUGGCUCGACACUGACGCUGAGGUGCGAAAGCGUGGGGAGCAAACAGG